GAAAAAUAUCACCAAACUUUUGGAUCUUCUCUGGCUUGGCAUCGACUGCUCUAUCAAAGAAGGGUCUGAAAUCUUAUUCUGGAAGGAAUCAUGGCUAGGCGAUCUCUCUCUUGAAAGUCUCUUCCCAAAUCUAUAUGAGGUUGCUGUAAACAAGAGCCAUGUCAAAUGAUACUCUUGUCAAAUGAUCUUAAUGAAUCUUCUCCUG
rnacentral:lncRNA from 1 species